GACGAACGCUGGCGGCGUGCUUAACACAUGCAAGUCGAACGAAGAGCGAUGGAAGCUUGCUUCUAUCAAUCUUAGUGGCGAACGGGUGAGUAACGCGUAAUCAACCUGCCCUUCAGAGGGGGACAACAGUUGGAAACGACUGCUAAUACCGCAUACGAUCUAAUCUCGGCAUCGAGGAUAGAUGAAAGGUGGCCUCUAUUUAUAAGCUAUCACUGAAGGAGGGGAUUGCGUCUGAUUAACUAGUUGGAGGGGUAACGGCCCACCAAGGCGAUGAUCAGUAGCCGGUCUGAGAGGAUGAACGGCCACAUUGGGACUGAGACACGGCCCAGACUCCUACGGGAGGCAGCAGUGGGGAAUCUUCCGCAAUGGACGAAAGUCUGACGGAGCAACGCCGCGUGAGUGAUGACGGCCUUCGGGUUGUAAAGCUCUGUUAAUCGGGACGAAAGGCCUUCUUGCGAAUAGUUAGAAGG
rnacentral:rRNA from 1 species